ensembl:lincRNA Gm44410 predicted gene, 44410
CUGGAACAAAUAUCACUAAAGAAAUGUGGGACGAAUAUGUUAAUGUUAUUGAGUACCUCAGAAUUCCUACUGAAAAUAUUGAAAAUAUCUAUGAAACAGAUGCAUGCCCUAAAUGGGAGCCUUGAUCUCAUGAGCAGAGAAGUUGUAUUAAUCACUAUUCUUGAUUCAUUGGAAUUAAAUUUUGAGAUUGAUUCAAGAUUAUUAUCACAAAGUAUUCAUAAUUGUCACUCAGAAAUUUCUGUAUACCCUACUGUUAUUGAAAACCAUCACUGCCUUCAUAUAUGAAUAAAUACAUUGAAUUCAAUAUUGUGAAAAGAGUUCAAUAAAGUAUGCAAUGCA